AACGAACGCUGGCGGCAUGCCUAAAACAUGCAGGUCGAACGAGACCUUCGGGUCUAGUGGCGCACGGGUGCGUAACGCGUGGGAACCUGCCCUUAGGUUCGGAAUAACUCCCCGAAAGGGGUGCUAAUACCGGAUAAUGUCUUCGGACCAAAGAUUUAUCGCCUUUGGAUGGGCCCGCGUUGGAUUAGCUAGUUGGUAGGGUAAAAGCCUACCAAGGCGACGAUCCAUAGCUGGUCUGAGAGGAUGAUCAGCCACACUGGGACUGAGACACGGCCCAGACUCCUACGGGAGGCAGCAGUGGGGAAUAUUGGACAAUGGGCGAAAGCCUGAUCCAGCAAUGCCGCGUGAGUGAUGAAGGCCUUAGGGUUGUAAAGCUCUUUUACCCGGGAUGAUAAUGACAGUACCGGGAGAAUAAGCUCCGGCUAACUCCGUG
rnacentral:rRNA from 1 species